rnacentral:rRNA from 1 species
AGUGAACGCUGGCGGUAGGCCUAACACAUGCAAGUCGAACGGCAGCACAGUAAGAGCUUGCUCUUACGGGUGGCGAGUGGCGGACGGGUGAGGAAUACAUCGGAAUCUACUUUUUCGUGGGGGAUAACGUAGGGAAACUUACGCUAAUACCGCAUACGACCUACGGGUGAAAGCAGGGGAUCUUCGGACCUUGCGCGAUUGAAUGAGCCGAUGUCGGAUUAGCUAGUUGGCGGGGUAAAGGCCCACCAAGGCGACGAUGCGUAGCUGGUCUGAGAGGAUGAGCGGCCAAACUGGAACUGAGACACGGUCCAGACUACUCCGGGGGGCAGCAGUAGGGAAUCUUCAGAAAUGGGCGCAAGCCGGAAGGAGCAAGGCCGCGUGAGUAAUGAAGGUCUUCGGAUCGUAAAACUCUGUUAUUAGGGAAGAAAAUAUGUGUAAGUAACUGUGCACAUCUUGACGGUAAAUAAUAAGAAAGACACGGCUAACUACGUG